rnacentral:rRNA from 1 species
AGGUGCUGCAUGGUUGUCGUCAGCUCGUGCCGUGAGGUGUCGGGUUAAGUCCCAUAACGAGCGCAACCCCUACCGCCAGUUGCCACGGGUAAAGCCGGGGACUCAGGCGGGACUGCCGGCGUAAGCCGAGAGGAAGGCGGGGAUGACGUCAAAUCAGCACGGCCCUUACGUCCAGGGCUACACACGUGUUACAAUGGCCGGUACAGAGGGAGGCGACCCCGCGAGGGGGAGCGGAUCCCGAAAGCCGGUCGUAGUUCGGAUCGGGGUCUGGAACCCGACCCCGUGAAGCCGGAUUCGCUAGUAAUCGCGCAUCAGCCAUGGCGCGGUGAAUACGUUCCCGGGCCUU